rnacentral:rRNA from 1 species
UUAACUUACAUCCAAACCGCCAGGGGAUUACGAGCAAUGCUUAAAACCCAAAGGAUUUGACGGUGUCCCACCCCACUAGAGGAGCCUGUUCUAUAAUCGAUGAUCCCCGCUUCACCUAACCACUCCUUGCUCAUCAGUCUGUAUACCUCCGUCGAAAGCUUACCAUGUGAAUGCCCGCAGUAGGCUUAAUGAUUCACCAUCAAUACGUCAGGUCAAGGUGCAACUUAAGGAAUGGUAAGUAAUGGGCUACAAUUUCUAACUUAGAACAAACGAAAGACUAUGUGAAAUCCUAGUCAUGAAGGUGGAUUUAGUAGUAAAAAGAAACUAGAGUGUUCUUUUUAACCCGGCUCUGGGACGCGUACACACCGCCCGUCACCCUCUUCGAUAGUACAUAUUCAUGUCUUUAACCCACCAUCACAUUUUAGAAGAGGCAAGUCGUAACAUGGUAAGUGUACUGGAAAGUGCACUUGGAAUAUUA